UUUUGAUCUCCCAUCUAGCCAGCCAUCUUCAAAGUGGGAUAUUUUUUCUUGUUGCGAUUUCACUCUAUAAAUCUCACCACUGAUCAAUCUUCGCAAUCGAUUUUACUUGUUACUAGAACUAAACACGAGAUAAAGAAUUUGCAGAAAGUAAAUAGCACAAGAGAUUUAUCCAGUUCGGAAGCUAAACCGCUACCCUACGUCUGGCCGAGGAUUUCUCGGAAUUCACUAAGCACCACCGUACAAACGUUCUUUCUCUCACCGGAAAACCCCGAGAAACAAUUUCACUCACCGGAAAAUCUCUCUUCUGUUUUCCCUCAAUUAUAAUUGUUCUCUCUCUAGGAUACAACUGAAUCUCUCUCUCUAGCUCUCGUCGUUCACCGAUUACAGUAAUACAAGUCCAAUUUCUGAAUCUAACAACCUCUAACUGAUUCAGCGAUUGAGCUCACGCGCUAACGGUCUGGACUGAGCUCGAGAAGAUAUUUUCCUCAUCAAGAAGACGACUGCUUACGACGACGUUUGCACUUUAAUCGAACCCACAUUAAACAGAAAUCAAACCUCCUGAUUUCUGCAUUGGUUCAGAUCAAGUUCCUAAACUGGAACCUUCUACUUCAGCUAGCUGGUUUUGUUGACCAAUACAUCCGACAAACCCCACCUUGGUUGACAAACCAACUAGCCUCCUUGUGCACAGUAAAUUCCGACCUCGAUUUCUCUCCGAUCAAGCUUCAGAGACGCCAAGCAAGCUUAUCAGCUGCUUGAACAUACCAACCUCCAAUACUUUCGUGAAGAUAUCCGCAGGGUUCUCAAUAGUAUGUAUUUUUGAAACCUGUACUUCAUCUUCACCCUUUCUCUUACAAAGCUCAGUUUCACCGCCAUGUGUUUUGUACAUUCAUGAUGAACAUUGUUCUUUGCUAAUGCCAAAGCACUCUGAGAAUCACAAAAAAUCUCCACCCACUCUUGAGAGUAACCAAACUCACUGCUUAAACCUCUCAACCACACGGCUUCUUUUGCAGCUUCUGUCAUCAAGACAUAUUCGGAUUCUGUAGUGGACAAUGCUACCACCUUUUGAAGACUUGAGUUCCAGCUAAUGACACUCCCACCAGAGACAAAAGCAUAACCUGAUAUAGAUCUUCUCCGAUCUAAAUCCACUGCAUAAUCCGAAUCACAGAAUCCACAAACUUUGAAAUCUGAAACAUUUCUUAUACACCAAACUCAUUCCUUUAGUCCCUUUAACAUAUCUCAGAAUCCAUUUAACAGCCACCCAAUGCACCUUAACUAGAUUAUUCAUGAACCUACUCACCAAUCCAACAGGAUAUGAAAGAUCCGGUCUAGUACCUAUCAUUCCAUACAUCAAACUACCGACUGCAUUACAAUAAGGAACUGACCUCAUGUACUCUGAAUCUGCUUUAAUCUCCUUCUUUGUUGCAGAUGCGAGUUUGAAAUGAGCUCCAAUAGGUGUGUUUACCGCCUUGGCUUGAUCCAUAUUAAAGCUCUUAAGAACUUUCUCCAUGUAAUUCUCCUGAGACAAUCUUAAAGUUCCCACUUUCCGAUCUCUAAUGAUAUCAAUACCAAGAAUCUUUCUUGCAGCUCCAAGAUCCUUCAUCUCAAACUUUGAGCUGAGCUGAUCCUUUAGAGAUUUAAUAACCCUCAUAUCCUUGCAAGCCACCAGCAUGUCAUCUACGUACAGCAAGAGAUAGACAUAUAAGCCUGAAACACAUUUGAUGUAUACACACUAGUCAUGAUCGCUUCUCUUGAAGCCAAUCUCCAUCAUAAAUGUGUUGAACUUCUGGUUCCACUGUCUUGGACUCUGUUUUAGUCCAUACAGCGACUUCCUCAACAGACAUACGAGACCUUCCUUGCCCUUCUCAAUAUAUCCCUCCGGUUAGUCCAUGUAGAUUUCUUCUUCCAAGUCUCCGUGUAAGAAGGCCGUCUUCACAUCUAAUUUCUCAAGCUCCAUGUUCUCAUUUAUGAAAAUAGACAUCAAGUAUCGAAUUGAUACAUGCUUGACAACCGGAGAAAAAAUCUCGUUGUAAUCCACACCCUCCUUCUGAGCAUAUCCUUUUGCCACGAGCAUAGCUUUAUAACGGGGUUCUUCUACCCCUAGAAUGCCCGGUUUCCUCUUAAAGAUCCAUUUGCAGCCUAUUACCUUUCUUCCUUUUGGCCUAUUAACCAGCGACCAAGUAGAGUUCUUAGGAAGAGAAUCCAUUUCUUCAUCAGAAGCCCUUUUCUAAUUCUUGCUUUCAAGAUCUCUCAUUGCAGCUUUAAAGUCUGUAGGCUCAACUGGAUCUCCAUCCUCGGAUGCAAGUAAAGCCAUGUGGACAAACUCAUCAUCGUACCUUUGAGGAGGCCUGAUAUUGUCUCGUCUUUGUCUGUCACGAGCCAACCUAUAACCAUCGGUCUCUGGCUCAGGAUCAGUAUUACUUCCUGAUACAUCACCUUCACUGUCAAUGUUCACUACAUCUGAACUAGACUCACCACCUCCUCUUUGAGUUCCACCUCGAGUCUCUCCCCCUGAGCUAGUAUCUAUUGUUGAUGAAAUACCCAGCUCCACGUCCAGAAAGGCAAUUUCUCUUUCCCUCGAUACACCGUUUUGUUUCAUCAGAUCUUUGUAGCAUUCAUCUUCUUUGAAUGUUACAUUCCGACUUACAAUGCAUCGUUUGUCCUCUAAAGACCAAACUUUGCAGCCCUUCACACCUGUAGGAUACCCUAUAAAGAUACCCUUCCUUGCUCUCGGUUGAAGUUUCCCUUCAUCAGAGUGAAAGUAACAGACACAACCGAACUUCCUUAGGUGUUGAAAAUUUGGAGUAGUCCUAGACCACACCUCUUCUGGAAUGCGUCCCUGAAUGGCUGAAGAAGGGGUUCUGUUUAUCAAAUACACAGCCGUAUUCACAGCUUCUGCCCAAAACACUUUAGGUAGACCUGAUUCACAUAAUACACUCCUCACACGCUCAAGAAUGGUUCUAUUUAUCCUCUCUACCACACUGUUUUGUUGUGGUGUGUGAGGUAUGGUCAUGUGCCUCGAUAUACCAUUUUCUGUGCAGAAACUAUCAAACUCAUUAUUGCAGAACUCCAGUCCAUUGUCAGUCCUAAGCUUCUUCACUUUCAAACCAGACUGAUUUUCCACCAGUGACUUCCAUUCCGUGAAUUUCUCAAAUGCUUGAUCUUUAGUCCUUAGAAAAUAAACCCACACCUUUCUCAACCAGUCAUCAAUAAGACUCAGGAAGUAGUGACACUUACCGAGAGAUUGAAGGACUGAGGGAUACCCCCACAGAUCUGCAUGAACAUAUUCCAAACCAUUCUUGCUCGUAUGCUGACCUGAAGUGUAGCUCUUCCGAUGAGCUUUACCAAAUACACAGCUUUCACAAAACUGAAUACUUGACACCUUUGACUUAUGUAGAUAGCCUCUCUUCACCAUGAUAUCAAGGCCUUUAUGACUGAUGUGUCCUAACCUACUAUGCCAGAGGUUAGUAUCAUCUUUAAUAGCCAUCGAAUGGACUUCUCCAACGUGACUACUUCCCUGCAGGAAAUAGAGCUUAUGUGUUCUCUUUGCCGUUAAGACUGUCCUGCCAGAUUUCUUGACCUGAAGGAUACCGUUUUCUGAAGAGAAAAUACAUCCCUGCUCUUCAAACGAACCCAGAGAUAGUAAGUUCCUUGAGGAAUCAGGCACAUACCUGACCUCCUUUACCAAAACAUAUAUGCCUUCUGCAUUCUUCAGACGUAUGGUUCCAAUUCCCAUAACCGUAGAUACGGUUUCAUUAGCCAUCCUCACAGAUCCUGCAGUGAACUCCUCAAGUUCAAUAAACCAGUCUCUCCUCGGGGUCAUAUGGAAAGUGCAGCAUGUGUCCAAGAUCCAGAUUUUCCUGAAGUUGCAGGCCUCAACCACAUUCACUUCUGACACCAUUAGAGAUUCUAUAAACUGAAUCUCGGUUACUGCAGAUGAUUCCCCUGUCACUUGUCCUUUAUUCUUGUUCUGAUGUCCAGUCUUCUUGGGACAGUCUUCCUUGAAAUGUCCCUCACCACCGCAAAUGCAGCAAGUAUAUGCACCGCAUUUGCCUUUGCUUUUCUUGGAUUUGCUUUUUGAGUCCUUACUUGUAUUUGAGUCCUUAGAUGCCUUUCCUUUGAUAUUUGAAUUUGAAUACAACACCUUUCCUUGUGGUUUUACCACCUUUCCACUAGCCAACUCAAGUUGUUUCGAAUGAAUGAAACUAAUAACACCAUCAAGAGUCAUAUAUGCUUUAGAAUACAUCAGUGUAUCUCUCAGCUGAUCAAAUUGCUUAGGCAAAGACAUUAAGAGCAAGAUGGCCUGAUCUUCGUCUAGAAUCUCUACCAUGACAUUUCCUAGAUCCGUGAUUAUCCUCAAGAAUUCAUCGAUGUUGUUUUCUAUAGACGUGGACUCAUUCAUCUUGAAGCUAUAUAGUUUUUGCUUUAAAUACAUCCUAUUAGGAAGAGACUGAGACAUAUACUGAGCAUCAAGGAUCUUUAACAUACCAACUACUGUUUCCUCCUUGACGAUCUUUCUUAUGACCUUAUUUGUGACACUUGUGAUGAUUGUGCUCCGAACCUUACGCUGCUUCUUUGCGAGUUCUGGAUCUGAUUCUUUCUGCUUGAUAGAAGUUUCCUCAUCCUUUCCUUUACCAGGAUCAAUCUUCGCCUGAGGCUUCAACAGCUCUUGUUCUUGAGCCUGAUAUGCUUCUACAAACUGAGCAAAUCCAGAUUCGCAAAUAGCCUCUCCUUCCACAUGUUAUAAUCGAUCACUCCAUUGAACUUCUCGAUCUCGACUUUAGCGGAAGACAUCGCGAAAGAGAAGAACAAUCUUCGACGACUCCAGAAAUGAGAUCAACGACCUAGAGAACCUGGCUCUGAUACCACUUGUUGCGAUUUCACUCUAUAAAUCUCACCACUGAUCAAUCCUCGCAAUCGAUUUUACUUGUGACUAUAACUAAACACGAGAUAAAGAAUUUGCAGAAAGUAAAUGGCACAAGAGAUUUAUCCAGUUCGGAAGCUAAACCGCUACCCUACGUCUGGCCGAGGAUUCCUCGGAAUUCACUAAGCACCACCGUACAAACGUUCUAUCUCUCACCGGAAAACCCCGAGAAACAAUUUCACUCACCGGAAAAUCUCUCUUCUGUUUUCCCUCGAUUACAAUUGUUCUCUCUCUAGGAUACAACUGAAUCUCUCUCUCUAGCUCUCGUCGUUCACCGAUUACACUAAUACAAGUCCAAUUUCUGAAUCUAACAACCUCUAACUGAUUCAGCAAUUGAGCUCACGUGCUAAUGGUCUGGACUGAGCUCGAGAAGAUAUUUUCCUCAUCAAGAAGACGACUGAGAACGACGACGUUUGCACUUUAAUCGAACCCGCAGUAAACCGAAAUCAAACCUCCUGAUUUCUGCAUUGGUUCAGAUCAAGUUCCUAAACCGGAACCUUCUACUUCAGCUAGCUGGUUUUGUU
rnacentral:lncRNA from 1 species